rnacentral:rRNA from 2 species
AACACGGACCAAGGAGUCUAACAUGUGCGCGAGUCAUUGGGUUUACUAAACCUAAAGGCGCAAUGAAAGUGAAGGUCUUCCUUAGCGUUGGCCGAGGGAGGAUGGCUCGAGUCACGAUUCGAGCCCGCACUCCCGGGGCGUCUCGUGCUCAUUGCGAGCAGAGGCGCACCCAGAGCGUACACGUUGGGACCCGAAAGAUGGUGAACUAUGCCUGGUCAGGACGAAGUCAGGGGAAACCCUGAUGGAGGUCCGUAGCGAUUCUGACGUGCAAAUCGAUCGUCGGAACUGGGUAUAGGGGCGAAAGACUAAUCGAACCAUCUAGUAGCUGGUUCCUUCCGA